AAGAACUGGUAUCGGAAGUAUCAAUUUUCAGUAUUGAUCUGCACGUCAGUAUUCUCUGGAAUAAGACAAUUGAACUCGAGGUGAGAUACCUUUUUGCGUUUUUGUAAAUAUUCAGCUCCUCAGUACUUGUCUUCGUGGCUUUCACACAUUGGGUUUAAACAAAAUUGUUACUCUAUAAAGCUUUAGUUUUGAUUAUUAGCUAGCCUACUAUAUGGUUGUCUAGAUGCUGGCAAGAAAUUCCAGUUGGGGUUGGUUGUCACAUACACAGUACUCAUAUACUGUACAGUGGUGUGGAAAAGUGUUUGCCACCUUCCUGAUUUCUUUUUUUUUUUGUUUGUUUUUUUGCAUGUUUGUCACAAUUAAAUGUUUCAGAUCAUCAAACCAAAUUAAAUAUUAGUAACAACACAGCUGAACACAAAAUGCAAUUUUGACGUGAUACUUUUUAUCAAGGGAGAAAUAAAAUCCAAACCUCCAUGUCCCUGCGUGAAAAAGUGAUUGUCCCCCUGUAAAACCAUAACUGAGAUUAAUUGAGAUCUAUCAGCCUGGAAAAGGUCAUAAAGACAUUUCUAAAGCUUUGGUGUAACAAUGGUGUAAACAUGGAACAGUGAUGAACCUUCCCAGGAGUGGCCGGCCAACCAAAAUUACCCCAAGAGCGCAGCGACGAGUCAUCCAAGAGGUCACAAAAGACCCCACAACAACAUCAAAAAAAUUGCAGGCCUCAGUUAAGGAAAAACACUGAGCAAAAACGGCCUACAUGGUUCCAAAACGGAAACCAUUGCUGAACAAAAAGAACAUUAAGGCUUGUCUCAAUUUUGGGAAAAUACUCUGUGGUCUGACGAGACAAAAGUUUAACUUUAUUACAUCUGGCUUAAAAAGUAACACAUUUCUGAAAAAGAAUCUCGUACCAACCGUAAAAUAUGGUGGUGGUAGUGUGAUGGUGGGGGGCUGUUUUGCUGCUUCAGGACCUAGAAGACUUGCUUUGAUAAAUGGAACCAUUCUACUGUCUACUAAAAAUCCUGAAGGAGAAUGUCCGGCCACCUGUUCAUGUCCCCAAGCUGAAACCAACUUGGGUUCUGCAGCAGGACAAUGAUCCAAAACACACCAGCAAGUCCACCUCUGAAUGGCUGAAGAAAAACAAAAUGAAGACUUUGGAGUGGCCGAGUCAAAAUCCUGUCUUUAAUCCAAUUGAACCCUCCAAUGUGGCUGAAUUACGACAAUUCUGCAAAGGUCGUCAUCAUCAUGAUGAGUGGGCCAAAAUUCCUCCCCAGCGCUGUAAGAGACACAUUGCAAGGUAUCGCAAACGCUUGAUUGCAGUUGUUGCUGCUAAGGGUGGCCCAACCAGUUAUUAGGUUUAGGGUACAAUCACUUUUUCACACACAGCCAUGGAAGUUUGGAUUUUUUCUCCCUUAAUAAUAAAGUUUCAUGUAAAAACUGCAUUUUGUGUUCAGUUGUGUUGUUGUUGACUAAUACUUAAAUUUGUUUGAUCUGAAACAUAGAAGUGUGACAAACAUGCAAAAAAAAAAAAAGUCAGGAAGGGAACAAACACCACUAUAUAUAACAUAUUCAGUAGGAUGGCUGUAGAAAAUUUGUGAAUAUUAUUAAGAAUAAAGUUUAAAUAUUUGUAAAAUUAACCCCUUCAGACCUGCAUUUUUCCUGCUAGGCAAAAAAAAAAGCUUAUUCCACUCCCACAUAAAAUUGAUAUGUCAUGUUUUUAUAUGUUGUUUUUCAUGCACACACCAGUGGACAUCAGGAAAAUAUGGCUGUAGCGUCUAUACACUCGCUGAGUCUUGCUGGCUUUCAUGCAAUUGGAUGUGAAACGUAAUUUCUUGAUUGUGAUUGGUUCAUUAGAGCCAAUGAUUAACCAGAAGUGCUUACAUCAUCCAAAUCAGGUUUUUAUUAAUUCAGAGGAUGGAAAUAUGUCAUGUCCACGAGCGCAUCUUUUUGGUCCGACAUGUUAAAAAAAAAAAAAAAAAAAAAAAAAGCGAAAUUGAUACUAAUAGGUUUUUUCCAUCUAUAUCACAAAGCUGAGAUACUUUUUUUUUUUUUUUUUUGGCCCUUUUUGGAAAAAGUUUGGACACCCCUGCAAAGGAGUCAAAAGUGUGCCAACCAACCCCUAUCCCACCUACAUAUCUAAUGCAUGAUUUCUGUGUGAGGAACAGCGUGUAUACACAGCACUCCAGUAUUUGAAUAACGCUAAAAGAGGACAAAGUGUCAUCUCCUGUUGCAGCAGCUGUUCCCUUAACGUCUACACACAAAUACCGGUGAGCGCUAUCAAAGAUUUAUGACUAAGUAUCCAUAGAAUGCCAAAGCUAGGAAACGGAUGUGAAAAAUAUUGUCUGUAGUAAGUAAGUAGUGUGUUUCUGUGUUGUUUGCAUUGACUAGGUUGUAAAAGUAUGUUUCCUCAGAAAGCUGCUUGGUUAUUUCUGUGAGGGCCACUAACAAUGCCGUUCCUACUCACCAGGGUGGCAAGGCUUCUCAGUUGUUUUUACUCCAUGACAGCUGUGUGUGGGUUUUGAUAGUACCAAGCUGAAUUCUUCCUGGAUGGGGUGCCAGGCUAAAUUUAGAGAAGCACAGUUAUAUUGACUGCAGCUUCAGGUCUCACUGCCUUAAAGCUCCACAUCCUCACGACAGGCCGGUCAUAUUUGCAUUGCUGCACUUCAAUCCGUCCAAGAGCAGAAUGGACUCCCGAGGCUUGAAGGAAGAUCUCCGCCUCUUCCAGAGCACCUUGCUUCAGGAUGGACUCAAAGAGCUCCUGAAUGAGAAUAAGCUGGUGGACUGCAUCCUGAAAGUGGGCGACAGGAGCAUCCCCUGCCAUCGGCUCAUUCUGGCCGCGUGUAGCCCCUACUUCCGCGAGAUUUACUUUUCUGAGGAUGGCAGGGAAAUGGUCAACAAGGAAGUGGUUUUGGAGAAUCUAGACCCCGGCAUUAUGGAGGUGAUUGUAAACUACAUGUACUCAGCAGAGAUCGACAUCAACGACGAUAAUGUGCAGGACAUCAUGGCAGUGGCCGGUCGCUUCCAGAUCCCCUCUGUGUUCACCGUUUGUGUGAAUUAUCUCCAGAAGAAGCUGACCGUGAAUAACUGCAUCGCCAUCUACAGGCUGGGGCUGAUGCUCAACUGUCCCAGGCUGGCCAUCGCAGCUCGGGACUACAUCGCCGAUCGCUUUGAAACCGUCGCCAAGGACGAGGAUUUCUUGGAUCUAGUUUCUCAUGAACUCUUUGCUGUGAUCGGAGCGGACGGCCUCAAUGUGGAGAAGGAGGAGGUGGUGUUUGAGACCCUUAUGAGGUGGAUCAGGAAAGACAAGGAGAACCGCAUGAAAUCCUUAGAAGAGGCUUUUGACUGCAUCCGCUUCUGUUUGCUCCCGGAGAAAUACUUCAAGGAAAAGGUGGAAAAGGACGACAUCAUCAAUAGCAACCCGGAGAUUGUUAAAAAAAUCAAAGUGAUCAAGGAAGCUCUUGCAGGGAAGUUGCCCGAAAAAAAAACGGCAGAUGGGGAAGGUGAGGAGGCCAAGUUGCCCGGAUACCUGAACGAUAUCCGCAGGUAUGGCAUGUACGCCAAAGACGUGGUGCUGAUGAUCAACGACACGGCGGCAGUGGCCUACGACGGCCGGGAGAACGAAUGCUUUUUAGCUGCCAUGGCCAAGCAGAUCCCUCGAAACCACGUCAGCCUGGUGACAAAGAAGAACAAUCUCUACGUACUGGGAGGACUUUUUGUAGAUGAGGAAGACAAAGACAACCCACUGCAGUGUUACUUCUACCAGAUGGACAGUCUGGCUGCCGACUGGAUAGCUUUGCCCCCCAUGCCUUCCCCCAGGUGUUUGUUCGCCAUGGGGGAGUUUGACAAUCUCAUCUUUGCAGUGGCGGGAAAAGACUUGGAGACAAACGAGUCUCACGACACGGUCAUGUGCUACGACACCGAAAAAAUGAAGUGGAGUGAAACAAAGAAGUUGCCCUUGAGCAUCCAUGGACACUGCGCGAUCUCUGAGAACGGACUGGUGUAUUGUAUUGGUGGGAAAACUGAUGAUAACAAAGCCGUCAACAAGAUGUUCGCAUACAACCAUAAGAGGUCUGAGUGGAAAGAGGUGGCCUCCAUGAAGACGCCUCGAUCCAUGUUUGGGGCGGUGAUCCAUAAGGGGAAGAUCAUCGUGGCAGGAGGAGUCAAUGAAGGAGGCCUCACAGCCAACUGUGAAGCCUACGACUUUGCAACCAACAAGUAUGUGCGCUUAUAUGACACUCUGCAGUUAAUAUUCAUGAAUAAUGCAAGCUUGUGUCAUCAUUGGAAAAUUGCGGCCUCGCUUAACAGAGGGUACAGACUUUAAAAUUGCAAUGAUACCUUUAGGAUUAAGACUAGUCGAUGAGUAGAUGGAUGGAUGGGGGUUAACAGCGAAUGACAAAAAAACACAUGUAACUCAGACGAGAUCUCGUGAGAUGAAAACGUCUUUCAGCCACAUUGAGUUCUCAUUUGGAGAAAAGCUGUAUCGCGAGAACAGGGCAUCCAGAAGCCAAUCAGACUGUAAACUAUGGAAUGUCUACGAUGAAUGCUAAUGCACGCAAUAAGGAAGUGGCAGUGUCCAAGGCAUUAUUGGACGUGCAUAUUAAGUGCUUUAUGCACACCUUGCAAUCCAACCUACCUUGGUGUUCGCACUGACAGCAAGUGACAUGUGGCUCUUUUUUCCAUCGUAGUUGAACAGCUUCUUGCUACUUGCUGAUGUUCAAGCAGAAGCUGUAGUAAUUGUAUAUUUGAUCAACUUUACCUAAGAUUUGUCAGAUCAACCCAUCACUGAGCGCUUCUAUUGACGCUCAUUGCAUUUGGCUCAGCACCAAUUUUCAAUCACCGGCGAUCACCCUGUGUGUUUCAUAACAUACCUCAUACAUAGAAGAUAUCCGUGUUGACAAUUUAGCAACAUUGUCGCUCUAUUUAGUGAGUAAGGUUACGCAUAUAUAUCCCCCCCGUAGACCCACCACCUGCGGGGGCAAGCAUAAGGGUCUGGUGCAUUGUGUGGUGGCGGUUGAGGGUGGGCGCCAGGGCGACCUGGUCUUUGGCGGCCAAAUCUGGUUCUUGGGACAUGGAAUGUCACUUCUCUGGCGGGGAAGGAGCCCGAACUUGUGAGAGAGGUUGAGACAUUCCGACUAGAUACAGUCAGACUCACCUCGACCCACAGUUUGGGUUCUGGAACCAAACUCCUCGAGAGGGGCUGGACCUUGUUCUACUCUGGAGUUGCUGCAGGGGAGAGGCGGCUAGCUGGUGUGGGCUUGUUAAUAGCCCCCCGGCUCGGUGCCUCUGUGUUGGAGUCAUCCCUGGUUAACGAGAGGGUCAUUUCCCUACGCCUUCGGGUUGGGGAAUGGGUCCUGACUGUUGUUUGCGCGUAUGCGCCAAAUGGCAGUUCAGAGUACCCAGCGAUCUUGGAGUCCAUCAGAAGGGUGCUGGAGAGCACCCCAACUGGUGACUCCGUCGUUUUGCUGGGAGACUUCAACGCCCAUGUGGGCAAUGACAGUGUAACCUGUAGGGGCAUGAUUGGGAGAAACGACCUCCCCGAUCUGAACCCGUGCGGUGUGGUGUUGUUGGACUUCUGUGCGAACCUCAGUUUGUCCAUCACAAACACUAUGUUCGAACAUAAGGAUGUCCACAAGUGCACAUGGCACCAGGACACCCUAGGCCGCAGGUCUAUGAUCGACUUUGUGGUCGUAUCAUCAGACUGGCGUCUGGGGGAGGAUAUUGAGGAUAUUGAGUCCGAAUGGGUUCUAUUCCGUGCGCCCAUUGCUGAGGCAGCUGAUCGGAGUUGCGGCCACAAGGUGAUCAGUGUUAGUCGUAGCGGCAAGCUCCGAACCCGAUGGUGGACACCAGAGGUUAGGGCUGCCGUCAAGCUGAAGAAGGAGUCCUAUCGAGCAUGGAUGGCUUGUGGGACUCCUGAAGCAGCUGAUAGAUACUGGCAGGCCGAGCAGCAUGCAGCUUCGGCGGUGGUCGAGGCAAAAACUCAGGUGUGGGAGGAGUUCAGUGAGGCCAUGGAGCAUGACUUUCGGUCGGCCUCGAAAAGGUUCUGGCAAACCGUCCGGCGCCUCAGAAAGGGGAAGCCAUGCCCGGUCCACACUGUUUACAGUGGGGACGGGGGCCUGCUGACCUCGACCGAGGAUAUAUUUGGACGGUGGAAGGAAUACUUUGAGGCCCUUCUCAAUCCCACUGACAUACCUUCCAAAGAGGAAGCAGAGUCUGAGGACACAAACGCAGACAGUUCCAUCACCGUGGCUGAGGUAUCUGGGGUAAUCAAAACGCUCCCAAGUGCUGGACGAGUUUCACCCUGAAUUCCUCAAGGCUCUGGAUGUUGAGGGACUGGAGAGAAAGGUACGACCGUUAGUCGAACCUCGGCUACAGGAGGUGCAAUGUGGUUUUCGUCCUGGUCGCGGAACACUGGGCCAGCUCUACACCCUUGCAAAUGGUACUGGAGAGUACAUAUCUACAUGUGCUUUGUGGACUUGGAAAAGGCAUUCGACCAUGUCCCUCGCGGUGUCCCGUGGGGGGUGCUCCGGGAGUAUGGGAUUGGUGGUGUGCUACUACGUGUCAUUCAGUCCUUGUACAACCGGAGCAGGAGCCUGGUUUGCAUUGCCAGCAGUAAGUCAAGCCUGUUUCCGGUGAACACUGGCCUCCGCCAAGGCUGCCCUUUGUCACCGAUUCUGUUCAUAAUUUUCAUGGACAGAAUUUCUAGGCGUAGCCGAGGUGUCGAGGGAGUCCAUUUCGGAGGCCUUAGGAUCUCAUCUCUGCUAUUUGCAGACGAUGUGGUCCUGAUGGCCUCAUUGAACUGUGACCUGCAGCGUUUACUGGAACGGUUUGCAUCGGAGUGUGAAGCUUCUGGGAUGAGACUCAGCACCUCCAAAUCCGAGGCCAUGGUUCUCAGUCGGAAAAGGGUGAAUUGCUCCUUCCGGGUUGGGAAUGAGGUCCUUCCCCAGGUGGAGGAGUUCAAGUAUCUUGGGGUCUUGUUCACGAGUGAGGGAAGGUUGGAGCAUGAGGUCGAUAGGCGGAUCGGCGCAGCGUCUGCAGUAAUGCGGUUGCUGUACCUGACCGUCGUGGUGAGCUGAAACGGAAGACAAAGCUCUCAAUUUACUGAUCAAUCUAUGCUCCCACCCUCACCUAUGGUCAUAAGCUUUGGGUCGUGACCAAAAGAACAAGAUCGCGGAUUCAAGCGGCUGAAAUGAGUUUCCUUUGUAGGGUAGCUGGACUCACCCUAAGAGAUAGGGUGAGGAGCUCGGAGUAGAGCUGCUGCUCCUUCACAUCAAGAGUAGCCAGUUGAGGUGGCUCGCACAUCUAGUCCGGACGCCUCCCUGGUGAGGUGUUCCGGGCAUGUCCAGCCGGGAGAAGGCCCCGUGGCAGACCUAGGACACGAUGGAGGGAUUAUGUCUCACAGCUGGCCUGGGAACGCCUUGGUGUCCUCCCUGUGGAGCUGGAGGAGGUGGCUGGGGACCGUGAAGUCUGGGCUUCCCUACUGAGACAGCUGCCCCCGCGACCCGGACCUGGAUAAGCGGAGGAAAAUGGAAUGGAAUGGGUGGUCACCAUUCACAGAGUUUCCCCAGGAGAGAAGUUCAGUCAACCUGGUCAGCUGCGGCGGACUCUUGUACGCCAUCGGUGGCUUCGCCAUGGUAGAGAAUGAGAACAAGGAGUGUGCACCUGUGGAAGUGGUGGACAUCUGGCAG